GAGAAGAAUUAACGACACGAAAUACUUUUUCCUUUUCCUCGAGCAAAUAAAUGUCUUGAUUCAUUUAAUGUUAGCCUCGUUCAUUUAUUUAGUCCGAUAUUGAGGGGAAAUUGGGUCAAAUGGGGAGAUUAUGUUCGUUCACUCGGCGACACCGACGUAUGUCUCGAACGCACGAAUCACGAUCGAGUAGACGACAAAUAACAGCGAAAAGGGAGGUGUGGGAAGUGAACGCGAAAAAAAAAACGAAAGAAAAAAGAACGAAAGAAAGAAAGAAGGAAGGAAGGAAGGAAAGAAAAAGGUUCGUCGUGUUUUCGUUGGAGAAGUGGUAAAGAAACGUAAGGAAGACUUAAGGAGAGGACUACACAUAGUCUCUAUCACGGAGGGUGUGGGAGGGUAUCAUUCCUCCUUACACGAAGUUAGUACGAAGAGAUGACCCAACGUAGGUAAAGACUUUCGUCGAAGUAAACGGAUAGUAGUGGACUGCAUCAGGCUUCCACGUGUGCAUUGGAAGAAGUUGUAUCGUGGAUUCAUCGAAGAGGAAGAGAAAAAGGAGAUCGGAGGAUGCGAUUUUCGAGUCACGUUUAGAAAGAAGACGGUCAGCGGCCUUUCUUGGUUCAGGACUUCUCAAGAGUAACAAGCGUACAAUAGCACCCGGCUGAUGGCACUGGCGGUUAUGGAUGAACGGUAGCGAACGAGGAGCGACAGUCGGCAAGAAGCGAUGAGAGAAAAAGGAAGAUGAGAAGGAUGAGAAAGAGGAGGAGGAGGAGGAGGUGGUGGUGGUGGUGGUGCUGCAGGAGAUGAGGAAGAUGAAGAAAAGGGAGACGAAGGAGGCUGUGGUAAAUCGUUCGCCGAGCAGAAUCUCUUCGAGCGGCACGUUUCUCCGACGAACUUGGAGAUUCUCUCUUCUCUUUACGCCAUCGCAAGAAAUUUUCCCUAUCUUCUAUUUCCUCUCUCUCUCUCUCUCUCUCUCUCUCUCUCUUUCUCUCUCUCUUUCUCUCUCUCUGUCUGUCUGUCUGUCUGUCUUCCUUUUUGUCAACUUCGUGCAGAGAAUUCUUUACGAUAGGUAAAGAAAUUUCGUUGACACGAGAAACGUGGCCAAAAAUAUCAAGAAAAAUAAUAAAACUAUGAAAAUUCCGAUUUUUCUAUCUUUCUAUACAUACUUUAUACAUAACAGGAUGAAUAAGAGAUAGACAAAUAAAUGUAACGAACGAGAAAGAAAGAGAAAGAGAGA